rnacentral:rRNA from 1 species
UACAGAGGUCUCAAGCGUUGUUCGGAUUCAUUGGGCGUAAAGGGUGCGUAGGCGGCGCGGUAAGUCGGGUGUGAAAUCUCGGAGCUUAACUCCGAAACUGCAUUCGAUACUGCCGUGCUUGAGGACUGGAGAGGAGACUGGAAUUUACGGUGUAGCGGUGAAAUGCGUAGAUAUCGUAAGGAAGACCAGUGGCGAAGGCGACUUACUGGACCGCCACUGACGCUGAUGCGCGAAAGCCAGGGGAGCAAACGGG